AGUGAACGCUGGCGGCGUGCUUAACACAUGCAAGUCGAACGAGAACGGAAUAUAGCUUGCUAUAUUUGUCAGCUAAGUGGCGCACGGGUGAGUAAUGUAUAGAUAGGCUGCCCUUAAGAAAGGAAUAACAGUUGGAAACGACUGCUAAUGCCCUAUAUGCCUUUAAUACAUAAGUAUGCAAGGGAAACGCUUUAGUGCUUAAGGAUGGGUCUGUAUGGUAUCAGCUUGUUGGUGAGGUAAUGGCUCACCAAGGCUAUGACGCCUAAAUGUUUUGAGAGGAUGAUCAGUCACACUGGAGCUGAGACACGGUCCAGACUCCUACGGGAGGCAGCAGUGGAGAAUAUUGCACAAUGGACGAAAGUCUGAUGCAGAGACGCCGCGUGGAGGAUGACACAUUUCGGUGCGUAAACUCCUUUUAUAUAGGAAGAUAAUGACGGUACUAUAUGAAUAAGCACCGGCUAACUCCGUGCCAGCCGCCGCCGUAA
rnacentral:rRNA from 1 species